ACGGAGGCCACAAGGACACGGGCAGCCAUGGGGGGACACGGCGGUGGUGGCUCCGGGUGCUGCGGGAGGACACGGGGUCGCCGGUGACAACGGCGCGGUGCCGGGCAGGAACUGGGCCCGGCAGCAGCCGGACGAGGCCGGGACGGGCGAGGACUGCGUGACCAUGGGGGUCGGAGGACGCUGGGCCGACCGGGCCUGCGCCUCGUCCCCCGGCGGGUGGCUCUGCGAGCGUCCCUGGAGCUGCUGACCGGGCCACCGGGGCCACCGGGGCCACCGCGGGGACGGACCGCGCCGGGGGAUCUGCCAGCUCCAGCGUCCCGGGGACCUCCUGCACCCGUGGGAACUCCUGGAUCCAUGGGAGCUGCAGCACCUGUGGGACCUCCUGGACCCAUGGGAGCUCCUGGAUCCAUGGGAGCUCCAGCACCCAUGGAUCCCCAAGAAAGCCAGGAGACCCCAGCACCCAUGGGACCUCCUGUCCCCCCAGUCCUGGCCCCCCGGCUGCGCUCGGGGACGUUGGCGGUGGCAAUAAACCUCCUGCAGCCCCCAGAGAGUCCAGUGAUGGAACGGGUGACACCGGGGCGGGUGACACCAGGGUGGGAUGGGUGACACCAGGGCAGGUGACACCAGGAUUGGAUGGGUGACACAGAUGGGACAGGACAAAUGACAGUGGGGUGGGACAGGUGACACCAGGAUGGGAUGGGUGACACCACGAUGGGGCAGGACGGGUGACACCAAGGCGGGUGACACUGCGAUGGGACAGGUGACACCAGGACGGCAUGGGCGACACCACGAUGGGACAAGAUGGGUGAAACCAGGGUGGGACGGGUGACACCAGGGUGGGACGGGUGACACCAGGACGGGUGACAUUGGGGCGUGGCCCAGGCACCGCACCGGGGGAGCGUCCGGGCCACAUCUGGAGCCAGAUCGGGGCCACAUCUGGGUGGCACCAGCAGUGACGGCGGCCACACCUGGGGCACAUCUGGAGACAUGGGGUCCACGCAGGACACAUUUGGGGGGACACAUCCGGGCCCACCGGGGUGACACUCGCGGGUGCCAUUAGGGGACACUUCAGGGACACUACGGUGACAUCUGGGGCACAUCCACGGGGGCUGCGGUGGGUCACAUCUGGGGCAGACUGGGAACAUCUGGAUGGGUGACGGCAAGGCAUUGGGUGGCCCUUGGGACACACCUGGAGGCCACAUCUGGGGUGACACAUCCGGGGGCCCGUCGGGGCACACCCGGAGGUGACAUCUGGGCACAGCUGGGGACACCGAUGGGGACAUCGG
rnacentral:lncRNA from 1 species